rnacentral:rRNA from 1 species
UACAGAGGUCCCGAGCGUUGUUCGGAUUCACUGGGCGUAAAGGGUGCGUAGGUGGCGUGGUAAGUUUGAUGUGAAAGCUCAGGGCUUAACCCUGAAAUGGCAUUGAAUACUACUGUGCUGGAGGUUUGGAGGGGGGACUGGAAUUCUUGGUGUAGCAGUGAAAUGCGCAGAUAUCAGGAGGAACACCAAUGGCGAAGGCAGCUCGCUGGGGACGGUACUGACGCUGAGGCGCGAAAGCGUGGGGAGCAAACAGG